rnacentral:lncRNA from 1 species
CUGAUCAACGGUUAUUACAGCUCUGGGGUUCCUUACAGUCAAAAGAUUUGUCUCUGUCAAGAUUUUUAGUAGAGGAAAAGGCAUUAUCUUCUAGAUAGGGUUAUAUAAAGCAGCUCUCCAGCAUUAAGAAACAUAGCUUUGCCAAUACUUCUGCUCAUUGCAAAGAAACAGGUGUUAUAGGCCCAGGGGUGAGCAUGCACAGAGAAAAGGCUUUGUGAGGACACAGUGAGAAGAUGGCUGUAUGCAAACCAAAGAGAGAGGUCUCCGGAGAAACCUGACCUGCUGACACCUUGAUCUGGGAUUUCCAGCCUCCAGAACUGAAGGAAGUGGCAGAUUCAUGAUGCAGAAGGGAGGAGAGAAGGCAGGAGGUGAAGGAGAUGGCACAGGCAGAGGUACAGAGUGGUGACUGAAACCACACGCCAUGUUGGGAGACUUCCAAACAAGUCUAGAGAGUUGGCACUUAGGGAUGAAGAAAUCAUCUUCUGGUGAGUCUGAGCAGUCCUUCCUGACCUGCCUAGCAGAUACACUAAGUUAGAACUGAUGCCAGUGGAUUAUUUAGGAUAUUGCUCAGGGGGUACACUUGGUCUUUCCUGAUGACGCUUUUAAGAGAAAGGCAGAGUUGACCCUGGGCUUUCAAAAAACUGUUCUUUCAGGGCAAAACCUCAGAGAGAACUGGCUGCUAGUGAUCCUCUGCAGAGACCUUGAAGAGCACGGCAAUUAUGAAACUUCAACAAGAAAAGAUUUAAGCUGAUCUUUUAAAAAAAUAUAUACUGUCAGGAAUUUUGUAGAAAUGACUUUAAUGUAAUAACUGCUUCUUUGACUUAUGUUUUGUCUUGUGGUGAAAAGAAAAAUAUUUAUAAAAGCAUGCCUGUGUCCUAAAAUUGGGGACACAAACUUAAAUGACUGAAGGCACUUGAGGAGUGGAGGCAAGGAUGGUGAAACCAGGCCCUGUACCAAGCAGGAGAGCGUGAACCUGCUAAAGAGAGUGACUGCUUCUCAUUUCCAGUCAAUGCGACUGGUGUCGCAUUCCAGUCAAAUGGAGUUGCGACACCAUUUCAGCCACAGCGAUUGAUCUGGAUUUUCUGUAAAAUUCCCUGAUUUUUACAUAUUGCCAAUUAAUUAAUUAAUUAAAAAGAAAUGUAGAUGUUCAA